rnacentral:rRNA from 1 species
GCAUAUCAAUAAGCGGAGGAAAAGAAACCAACAGGGAUUGCCCUAGUAACGGCGAGUGAAGCGGCAACAGCUCAAAUUUGAAAUCUGGCGCAAGCCCGAGUUGUAAUUUGUAGAGGAUGUUUCUGGCGACGCGCCUUCCGAGUUCCCUGGAACGGGACGCCAUAGAGGGUGAGAGCCCCGUACGGUUGGAUGCCUAGCCUCUGUGAAACUCCUUCGACGAGUCGAGUAGUUUGGGAAUGCUGCUCUAAAUGGGAGGUAUACGUCUUCUAAAGCUAAAUACCGGCCAGAGACCGAUAGCGCACAAGUAGAGUGAUCGAAAGAUGAAAAGCACUUUGAAAAGAGGGUUAAAAAGUACGUGAAAUUGUUGAAAGGGAAGCGUUCAUGACCAGACUUGGGCAGGUUGAUCAUCCGUGGUUCUCCGCGGUGCACUCUGCCUGCCCAGGCCAGCAUCAGUUCGCUCCGGGGGAUAAAGGCUCUGGGAAUGUGGCUCCUUCGGGAGUGUUAUAGCCCACUGCGUAAUACCCUGGGGUGGACUGAGGUUCGCGCUCUGCAAGGAUGCUGGCGUAAUGGUCAUCAACGACCCGUCUUGAAACACGGACCAAGGAGUCGUCUUCGUAUGCGAGUGUUCGGGUGUCAAACCCCUACGCGUAAUGAAAGUGAACGUAGGAGAGAGCUUCGGCGCAUCUCCGACCGAUCCUGAUGUUCUCGGAUGGAUUUGAGUAAGAGCAUACGGGGCCGGACCCGAAAGAAGGUGAACUAUGCCUGUAUAGGGUGAAGCCAGAGGAAACUCUGGUGGAGGCUCGCAGCGGUUCUGACGUGCAAAUCGAUCGUCAAAUAUGGGCAUGGGGGGCGAAAGACUAAUCGAACCUUCUAGUAGCUGGUUUCCGCCGA